UGCAGAGCUGCUCCGCAGGCCGCUCUCCGCCUGGGAGGCGCGGGCCGCGCUUGCCUGGUGGCUGUGCGCUCUUCAGUUGCGCUGCUCGGCCUCAGGACACUUCUAGAAGGAAAAUUGAUUCUUCAUUUCGCUUCAGACGAAAGGAGCUAAAAAGUCUGCCAACUUAAAGAACUCGGACUCUCUUAGGGUGUACCACGUGACCUGUCGCAUUGCGCUCCGAGAUAUUCUGGAAAUGCUACUAAAGGAUCCAUUUAAAACCCCUGGAACACAAGUGUUAGUGCUGUUUCUGUUGUUACUGUGAAUGGCUCCUGGUAAAUAGGCCAUGGGUGAAGAGACCAUGCUUAUCAAGAAGAACAGGCAUCUCUAAGCAGAGACUUUGCUCCAAAGAGUUCUGGCUAUGUUAGUCUUUGGAAUACCUGCAAAUACACAGGAACAUAUGGAAAUGAAGAGACGAACCCUCAUUGCAGAAGUUGCUGGGGAGGCCAUACCAGUGGGAUGUGGAAAAGAUAGCUUUGACUACGUUGGAAGCGCCGAGAGCCAGAGGUUCCGACUUCCUUGCCAAGAGAGAAGAGAGGGAAAUCGCCUGACACUGUUUCAGCCUAUUCGAUGUGCUGCUGGGCAUCAUUCAGUAAAGGAAACACCUUUCUGAUCUGAUAUCGAAGAGUAUGGUGGAUGUGCUUCUAAUGACAAUCUAGUGGUGGGGGAAGCAGCCGAGAGAAGUCGGUAGCCCAGUUUUCCAGUCAUGCCAAGACAGGAAGAGGAGGACUAGCUACCGAGAUUCCCUUGAGAGUGGAGAAAGAGGAAGAGAAUCCUGAUGGGAGAAUCCUGAUGGGAGGAUUAGCCCAACCCCAAGAUCACUAUAUGGGUAUUGUAAUUGGGGAAACAGAAAGCUGACAGAAGAUUAAAGCUUUGUGUGAAAUAAAGGGUCUUUCUGAUCCGUCCUGAGUAGGAGG
rnacentral:lncRNA from 1 species